rnacentral:rRNA from 1 species
CGGACGGGUGAGUAACACGUGGGUAACCUACCUAUAAGACUGGGAUAACUUCGGGAAACCGGAGCUAAUACCGGAUAACAUUUGGAACCGCAUGGUUCUAAAGUGAAAGACGGUCUUGCUGUCACUUAUAGAUGGAUCCGCGCUGCAUUAGCUAGUUGGUAAGGUAACGGCUUACCAAGGCAACGAUGCAUAGCCGACCUGAGAGGGUGAUCGGCCACACUGGAACUGAGACACGGUCCAG